GAAUAUUGGACAAUGGGGGGAACCCUGAUCCAGCCAUGCCGCGUGUGUGAAGAAGGCCUUUUGGCUGUAAAGCCCUUUAAGCGAGGAGGAGGCUACUUAGAUUAAUCCUCUAGGAUAGUGGACGUUACUCGCAGAAUAAGCACCGGCUACCUCCGUGCCACCCGCCGCGGUAAUACAGAGGGGGCAAGCGUUAAUCGGAUUUACUGGGCGUAAAGCGCGCGUAGGUGGCCAAUUAAGUCAAAUGUGAAAUCCCCGAGCGUAACUUGGGAAUUGCAUUCGAUACUGGUUGGCUAGAGUAUGGGAGAGGAUGGUAGAAUUCCAGGUGUAGCGGUGAAAUGCGUAGAGAUCUGGAGGAAUACCGAUGGCGAAGGCAGCCAUCUGGCCUAAUACUGACACUGACGUGCGAAAGCAUGGGGAGCAAACAG
rnacentral:rRNA from 1 species